rnacentral:rRNA from 1 species
GGAGUUUGGGCCGUGUCUCAGUCCCAAUGUGGCCGUUUGCCCUCUCAGGCCGGCUACUGAUCGUCGCUUUGGUGGUCCGUUACACCGCCAACUGGCUAAUCAGACGCGGGUCCAUCUUAUACCACCGGAGUUUUUCACACUGUAUCAUGCGAUACUGUGCGCUUAUGCGGUAUUAGCAGCCGUUUCCAACUGUUGUCCCCCGGUAUAAGGCAGGUUACCCACGCGUUACUCACCCGUCCGCCACUAAGUAUAAACAAAAGCAAGCUUUUAAAUAUACUCCGUUCGACUUGCAUGUGUUAAGCACGCCGCCAGCGUUCAUC